rnacentral:rRNA from 1 species
CCUACGGGUGGCUGCAGUCAGGAAUAUUGGUCCAUGGGCGCUACCCUGAACCUGCGACGUAGCGUGAAGGAUGGAUGCCCUAUGGGUUGUAAACUUCUUUUAUCUGGGAAUAAAGUGCAGUAUGUAUACUGCUUUUCAUGUACCUUAUGAAUAAUGAUCGGCUAACUCCGUGCCAGCAGCCGAGGUAAUACUGAGUAUCCGAGCGUUAUCCGGCUUUAUUGGGUUUAAAGGGCGCGUAGGCGGGUGGUUAAGUCCAUUGUGAAAGUUUGCGGCUCAACCGUAAAAUUGCAUUUGAUACUGGCAUCCUUGAGUACAGUAGAGGUAGGCGGAAUUCGUGGUGUAGCAGUGAAAUGCGUAGAUAUCGCGAAGAACACCGAUUGCGAAGGCAGCUUGCUGGACUGUAACUGACGCUGAUGCUCGAAAGUGUGGGUAUCAAACAGGAUUAGAUACCCUAGUAGUC